CACAACACCUUGCAGAUCUGCUAUGUGUAUUGUGGCAUCCCACCCCGUAAACCUCGGCCCGGACCAGCCCGAGGGUUGGUCCGGGAUGGCCGUUACCGCCGUCACCCACCAGCCGGCGACGGAGAGCGCCGACCGAAGCCCAAUCAGCGUGAUUGGGGGCCACCUGGCCGAAAGCCGAGGAGCCACUAUAAGAGGACUGACAUUUGGGCAGACCAGGCACGGGAGUGAGGAAGGAGGAAGCGCUCGUGUCCGCGAGAGGCCAGAGGCCCACGGAGGCCCUAGAGACCGCGUUUACUUUGUUUGAUUUAAGUUGUCUGCAAUAAAUGCCUUUAAUGGCUUAACCCACACUGCCAAGCGUGAUUUAUCCGUGGAACCCGGCUCAAUCGAGGAGCGGGUUGCCACAGUAUUUAUGUAUUUUUAUUUAUCUGUGAAACCAUGUCAACUACAUGUAUUGCCUCAACUAUUCAAAUGUUGGCCUGAAAAGGUUGCGAACCACUGAUGUACAAUACAGCCAGGUCAGAGGUAUAUGUAUUUUCUAUUUCAUACAGUAUUUGUACAUUUAGUGAUUUUUCUUUUUCUAUUACAGGUAACUGCUGCUGAGGUUGCUCAUGUCUAUCACACAGUCAAGCACAAUUUGAGCUUCAACUCCUCCGACUGUCAGUUCAAAUUGACCGCCCAAACACUCCCUGACUCCGCUAUUGCAAAGAAGAUGUCCUGUGGGAGGACAAAGGCUGAGGCAGUGGUUACUGAUGUCCUGGCACCAAAAGCAGUAGAAGAUGUGCUCACCAAGUUGAAAGGAGAUGGCACGCCGCUCCAAUUCUCUCUACAAACUGACGCCUCCAAUAAGGGCAACCGCAAGAUGUUCCCUUUAGCCGUUCAGUUUUUCACUCCAGAGGAGGGCAUUUAAAAGAAGCUGAUAGACUUUGUUGAAAAUCCGGAUGAGUCUUCCCAAGGUAUAGUUGAUUCCAUCCAAUGCUCUCUGGACAAAACAGGUCUAGCUUUGGAUUUUUCUGCAUUCAGUGCAGACAUUGCCAAUCGUGUCAGGCAGGAGUUCACAGCCUUCUUAGACACUGCCAUUGGUUAUGUGCGCAAGUGGUUCAACUUCUCUGACGACAACUGGCACUUUCACGUGGAACCACUCUGUCUGACAUCUGGGAAGAUCUCCUACAACGACAUGGAGAAGAUCAUUGAGAAGCUACACCUAGUUGACAGGUAUGUAGCAAACACACUGUACCACUGACUCCCUUUACUGGCAUAUAAUGCCAAGGAAUAAUAAUUUGCACCUGAUUCCAGUCUACUAAUCACUACCAGUGAUUUUAAUAACAUUUUGUCAAAUGAUUUUAAUGAGUGCCUCAGUUUUUAAUAAUGCCGAUAGCUGUGAACUGAAAGCCAUUUCAUCUUUAUUGACAGGCUUAACCUCUCUAUGGAUGAGCUCUACGAUGAGUGUGUUACAGCAAACGGCGUCUUCGGUCACCUCAAAGGGCGUCAGGAUUGGCCGCCAAAGGAACAGCUGAGAAGUGAGUGGAAGUGCUAAGCGGCUGGGCAGCUGACCUUCCAAACAUCCUGGCUGUGGUGGCCUUUGUUCUCAGCAUCCCAUCCUCUACUGGCAAAUCGAAAAAAAUGCAGAGGCCCGGCAGACUGGAGGGGGUCCACCACCUGCAGCCCUCACAGAGGCUGAGGAGAUGGCCCUCAGCCAACAGAGUAUGCGUCCUGUGGCUGAGGGCAUCCCUGGGGGGAGCUCCUCUGAUCCCCCCCCCACCCCCCAGGAUAGAAGUGCCUUUACAGUAUAAGAGUUACUGAUGGCGUCAUCGCCCUACUUGAACCAGAUGCCCUCACCAACCGCCAUGCAAUUGUAACAAUUCAAAAGAUGCAAAAGGAUGCUUUGGAGAUCCAAAUUUUGGAACAUAAAUUAUAGGUGGGUGAGGUGCAAACUGGGAUACUGUUCCCUGCUCUAAAAACAUACCCAAUAUAAAUGACUUUUUUUUUUUUGUGCUUUCAGGAAAUAAAAAAAUCCUCAUAAGUAGAUUGUCUUUAUUAGAACACGGGCUGUGGUGGGACAAGUUAUUUUGUUGAACAGUUUACUCAAAGGGUUUUACUUCAGUGAACAAUGCAGACGAUUAUGCUGAGCAUGUGCAUGUAGAGAAGAACAGCAUCUGGUUAAAAGCAGUACCAGGGUCUUUUCUGCCUUGCAUUCUUAAAAUGAGUUUCUUGACUUGCAGCAGUUAUAGGUCCGUGGUUAGUCAGCUACUCUGAUCAUGGGAAAGCCACAACGUUGAAGUGACUGUAGUAGGCCUACAGAGCGGGUGGGAUGCACGGGGCGGAUCAUUCUGCACAUGCGUUAAUUGCGAUAAAAAAUAAAUAAAUAAACUUAAAGCAUGCCCCCGGUGCGUUUGACAGUUAACAUGGGGGCUGAGAAGGUGGUCUAAAUAAAUGAUAGAUUGCGCUGAAAAACGAUAGCGCUCGUGAAGAAAAUUAUCAGGAAAAUAAAGUAUAUCCAACCGGGGUCUUAAUAAUCGUUCCUCACGGAGAUUCCUUCUGAGGAUCGCAGCCUCUACGUCCACAGGCUCUCGUAGAAAAGGACAUGCCAUUUCUAACACUUCCUUCUGUCGGAGAGCUGCCUUCAGCCUUAUAGACAACAAACUCGGAGUAGGUCUGACCACCUCCCGAGCAGGUUAGACCCACGGCGUAUGUUGCCGCAGCAACUAACUCUCGGUUGUGCUGAACCUGCUACCUGAAACGGAAAACCCAGAGUUUCCACUAACUCAGAGCGAACAAACUCGGGGUUGCCUCAAAACCAGCUACUUGAAACAGGGCUCAGGGAAGUAUAUUGUAUUUAUGUUUGUUUAUUUUAUUGUUCGACCGGCUGCUUUAAUGUGCAUACUUUUGCUGGCUACCCAGGUGUUGUCAUGGCUUUGGAGGCCCAGCAAGUUUUGUGUUUACAGUUUGUGAUAUAUAAGUGCUAGUUUACAUUUCAUGUUUUUGUUCCAAUUUGUGAUCAUAUUGCACUGUUUUUGUUUACAGUUAAUUUAAGUGCUUACAGUUUGUGAUCAAUUUUGCACUAGGUGUUUUUAUACUUUUGUUAGGCCUAAGAGGCCAAAUGUUUGCACUACUACUGUUCCAUUAAGAAACGCAAUACUACUGUUCCAAUUUUUUUUUUUUUUUUAACAAAAUACUGGAACUGUUUCUUGUGUUGUCUGUAUAUACUGCAAAUACAAAACUGAAGUUAAGGUAUGUGUCUUUAGUACAUGCUUAUUAUAGAUGUGGUUUUUUACUUGAUUAUGGUAUGAAUUAUUAAAUGGAUAGGACUUGCUACAGUAAGUCUAGCACAGUAGUAACACUGUAGUAGUGGUAACACAGUAGUAGCAAAUGCAUGCGUGUACACAUGCGUGUGCGCGCGCUUUGUGCGCGUGCAUGUGUCCCUUAUUUACAUUUCUGAUAGUUGGCAACCCUAGCUGCCACCCACUUCCCUGAAGCUAUGCCCCUGCGUAAAAUAACAGCCAGUGCUGUAGUGAAGGCUUCGGUCUCCCACUUGUAAUCCAGACUGAUCAAGGCUCAAAUUUCCAGUUCAGGCUUUUCAAUCAGGUGCUUGAAACUUUAAAUGUACGACAUGUUGUGUCCAGUGCGUACCAACCCGAAACUCAGGGUGCCUUGGAACGGUGGCACCAGACAUUCAAAUCCAUGCUACGUAAUUAUUGCUUGGAAACCGAGAAGGGCUGGGAUGAGGGACUCCCAUUAGUGGUGUUUACUGCUCGUGAGGCUGUCCAGGAAUCAUUAGGAUUUAGUCCCGCGGAGCUUGUUUUUGGCCACAUGCCCCGCGGGUCCCCUUAAAACUUGACAUGAUGUCGCGUUUUUGAAGAAGUAGUCCAAUCCUUGGUCGCUUUUAACUCACUUUAUUUGUUUAAGUAUUUCGGUAUGGUAACUAUGAAGCAAAAGGGAGGGAAUUGUAUCCAACACCCAUGUGAGCUACGUCGAGCCCCGGGCUUAGGCCCGGGUCUCUCUGCGGGUCUGCCUAGGUCUCUGAACUCUAAUCUCAAUGCCGCGGUGGUUAGGGUCAAGGGGGCGUGGCCGGUGUGACGUAAUGGUGCUGCCAUCUGUGGCUGGAGUAGUUAUUGCAGCUUAUGUGUUCAAUCCUGCUUCCUAGUGGCUAUGUGAGGGUACGUUUUUUUGAUAAGUUUCUGGUGUCCGGCAUGUCUGAGAAAAAUGUGUUGGACUUUGUUAAUCAACUUCAAAAUUGCACCAUGCCAAUGCCUUAGCCAAAGAGUCCCUCUCAACCUCCCACACAGUAAUGAAACACCACUACGAUCGCUCUGCUGUUCCCCGGCGCUUCAAAGUGGGUGAUAAGGUCUUAGCAUUGCUGCCUAUUCCUGGCUCCGCUCUCUCGGCCAAAUUCUCCGGUCCUUAUGAGAUUUGUGACUUUCUCAGUGACACCGAUUAUGUCAUUGGCACAUCCGAGAGAAGGCGAAAAACACGUGUCUGUCAUGUCAAUAUGUUAAAGCUGUACCAUUGCAGGGAGAAGACGGAGAGCAGUCCAGUAGACCUUACGUCCUCCCGAACCGCUGCUAGCCAAGGCAUCUCCGCGCUAAUUGUAACGGAUCACCCUAACCUAUCAGAAGCUGACGACUGGAUGCGUAAUUCCACCCAUUGUUGGGAAAAAAUAACCUGCUGAGUACAUCACAUGUACAUUACAAAUAUAGCUAACUCCUACCCUAGCCUGAUGAGCACAUCACAUGGCAGUCACAUUACAAUAUAGUCAACUUUUAACACAUAACACAAACAUGAUAAUAUAGUCAGGUCAAGGCCAGAGCCAAGGCCCCAUUUCCCAAGCAGGCAAAUGGUAAACACUCAGACAAUGCAACAGUCAUCCUCAAGAACGGGAGAGCCACAUUAAUUCAUCACACAAGAGAUACUUCGAGCACACAAGAGAUACUUCGAGAACAAAGGAGACACUGAGGAGCUCUUCCCCGUUAGUAGGAACACAAGAAGAUACACUUGCAUACACCAGGGCCUGGGAGCCAAGGUCAAGCAAAAACACACAGAACCACACACACCUCAAACGCACACACCUCAUCGAGAGGAGGAUACAGCAUAAAACUGUAUCACACAGAGACUCUUCUUCUUCUUCUGAAGCAGACCUUCCACGGAGGCGAAGCUCCGGACGAACCAUCAGCGCUGAUUAGGGACUUAGACAUAUUCGAUUUCUCACGCUUUAUGACUCUGUAUAACCGUUGCCACUUUACUUAAUAAAUCCAAGGUCCUCGUGCCGACAGACUUUAUUAACUCUCCGUCUCAUUUUAUCUGGUCCAGUAACUAGACAGACCGUUUUUUCCCCUUCACCAUCAAGGUGCCCGCCUCCCAAAUUCGGAGAUGUUGAAAACACUGCCAUCUCAGUCAAGUCACCUGACUACUGAGCAGCAGCAGGAUGUAGUGGACUUUGUAUACCGCUUUGCUGGUCUCUUUAAUGAUGUUCCGACUCAAACCACUGUCUUAAGGCAUGACAUUGAACUGAAAGAGCAGAAAGAUCUGCUCCCUAUUAAACAGCAUCCCUACUGCGCUAAUCAGGUGAAGCGUGAGUUAAUGAAAACAGAAGUGGAAUAUCUUCUGCAGAAUGGUCUGGCCACAACAGGGGCACCAGCCCCUGGAGCUCUCCCUGCCUCGUCGAAGCUAAGUCUGACGGUUCCCCAAGGUUUAUUACUCAUUUCCGUAAAGUAAAUGCUGUUACUGUUCAGGACUCGUAACCCCUACUUCGGAUGGUUACUCGUUUGUUUCUCCUGACCAGUUCUUACAGUAUACCGUCAUGGCGUUUGGCAUGUGCAACGCACCGGCCACCUUUCAGAGAUUAGCGAACACUGUUUUGGUCGGGUUACCUAAGUGUAAUGCCUACCUUAACGAUCUGAUUAUUUGGACAAGCAAUUGGGAGGAACACAUGCAGGGCCUUGAACAAGUUUUCAGUCUGCUCGCUCAAGCGCCACUUACACUGAACCUAGCUAAAUGAGACUUUGGGAAAGCCACUGUCACGUAUCUAGGGAGACAGGUGGGGCAAGGCCAAGAGUGCCCUGUGGAAGCCGAAGUCUCAGCCAUAACAGAGUCCCGUUUCGACCACUAGAAAAGCCCUUCGUCAGUUCCUAGGAAUGGCAGGUUACUACAGGAGUUUGUCGCAUUUUUUCAGUUUCAGUUUUCACUGAUCAUAACCCGCUUGUUUUCCUGCCCGCAUGUACAAUCACAAUCGGCGUCUCAUGCCGUCGGCCCUGUUUGUGCAAGACUACAACUAAGAAAUCCGGCAUAAAAAGGUUCUGAGAAUGUAUUUAUUUAUCUAGAUUAUAGUUGUUCCUGAGGUUGGGUGGUUGUAACUUGCAAACCUUAUAGGGUGUAUUUUAAGGUUGGGGGUGUUACAGCCACCGCUGAUUGUUUGUGUGUAACUGUCUCUGUUUGUAGUGGUAUGCUUACCAGGCUGUGUGGUUCCUUGCUGAGGGACUGGGCCCAGUUUCCCGAAAGCAUCGUUAGCCUAAGUCAGGGAUGGGCAAAUUUCAUGAUAAAGAGGGCCACAUUUUUCAUCAUAACCAUCGGAGGGCCACAUGACUGCACACUUCAACUAAACGUGAGCUGAGAGAAGCUACACAAUUUUGAAUUUGGUAGAUAUGAUUUCCUGUAUUCUGGUGCAUUUUGGGGAUGGCCACUACCUAAAAAAUCAUCCAGAAUCAUAAACUAUGUACGGUAUGUUAAUUGAACCAACAUACAUUCAUUUCAUGUUUUCCAUGCUCAAACAGCCACAUGAAUGGUCAGUAUUUGUAUCAGUGCAAAGGGCUCACAUACAUCAUUCAAUGAAGUCAAAAAACUGAAAAACAGUGGCCCAACAUUAAGUGCAACAACUCAAUGAACUCAAACCCAACAAGCAGUUGUAGUAGUUGUAGUGGCGACUUAAGUUAAUCUUUAAUGACUGAUAUCGCUUCUAAGCAAACUAGAUGCAUGGGUUUGCCUUCGAAUUCUAUGAAUUCUUCUCAUCUUUCUUGACCGAGUUUUCUGUAACUCGAUCAAUUAUUAUUAUUCUUUUUUUUAUUUUUUUUAUUAUGUGCGGGCCUGACUGAGUGAGGAUGCGGGCCGCACUGAGUGAGGAUGCGGGCCGCCAGUUGCCCAUCCCUGGCCUAAGUGGAUCGUGAAGUGCGUCGUACGAGCAUCGUACGUUUCCCGAAAGCAUCGUUGGUAACGAACGUCGUGAAAACGCUCGUAGCUAACGAGGACUCCAGUGCCGUGUUCCA